GAUGAACGCUGGCGGCGUGCCUAACACAUGCAAGUCGAGCGAUCUUCUUCGGAAGAGAGCGGCGGACGGGUGAGUAACGCGUGGGUAACCUGCCCUGUACACACGGAUAACAUACCGAAAGGUAUGCUAAUACGAGAUAAUAUACUUUUAUCGCAUGGUAGAAGUAUCAAAGCUCCGGCGGUACAGGAUGGACCCGCGUCUGAUUAGCUAGUUGGUAAGGUAACGGCUUACCAAGGCGACGAUCAGCAGCCGACCUGAGAGGGUGAUCGGCCACAUUGGAACUGAGACACGGUCCAAACUCCUACGGGAGGCAGCAGUGGGGAAUAUUGCACAAUGGGCGAAAGCCUGAUGCAGCAACGCCGCGUGAGCGAUGAAGGCCUUCGGGUCGUAAAGCUCUGUCCUCAAGGAAGAUAAUGACGGUACUUGAGGAGGAAGCCCCGGCUAACUACGUGCCAGCCGCCGCCGUAACAC
rnacentral:rRNA from 1 species